CUCCCUGGCGGCGAGUGGCGGACGGGUGAGUAACGCGUAGGAAUCUGCCCAGUAGUGGGGGGACAACCCCCGGGAAACCGGGGCUAAUACCGCAUACGCUCUACGGGGGAAAGCGGGGGAUCUUUGGACCUUGCGCUAUUGGAUGAGCCUACGUCCGAUUAGCUUGUUGGUGGGGUAAAGGCCUACCAAGGCGACGAUCGGUAGCUGGUCUGAGAGGACGAUCAGCCACACUGGGGCUGAGACACGGCCCAG
rnacentral:rRNA from 1 species